rnacentral:piRNA from 1 species
GACAAUGAGUAGGGCGCUGCCUAGGCUGCU